GCUCUUUUCUCCUCCGGAUCAGCGUAGAGGCUGGACGUAGGAGAAUCUCAGCAGCUCAAAGAAGAUGGAGGAGGAGGAGGGGAAGGAAGGUGUCAGAAGAGAUGUGAAGCAGUCCUUGGAAGGCAGGAAAACCUGUAUUCAAGCACGGCUUUCUGGCAUCUACAUCAAGCAUUGUGUGACCUUGAGCAAAAAUCUGCUUCAUCUUCUAGUGCUCUAGCAAUUUUCUAAUAUUAUAAAUUGCCAGCCUCAUUGACUGAAGGAAUUCCCUCUAUCAAAGAAAUCUCAUAUGGAGUCCAAAGUGAUUCUUUGCUCAUUUCAGACGGAAAAAUAAGGCAAUAAAAUAGGGGAUGCUGA